UAGGGAAUCUUCGGCAAUGGACGCAAGUCUGACGGAGCAACGCCGCGUGAGUGAAGAAGGAUUUCGGUUCGUAAAACUCUGUUGUUAGAGAAGAACAGCGCAUAGAGUAACUGUUAUGCGUGUGACGGUAUCUAACCAGAAAGCCACGGCUAACUACGUGCCAGCAGCCGCGGUAAUACGUAGGUGGCAAGCGUUGUCCGGAUUUAUUGGGCGUAAAGCGAGCGCAGGCGGUCAAUUAAGUCUGAUGUGAAAGCCCCCGGCUCAACCGGGGAGGGUCAUUGGAAACUGGUUGACUUGAGUGCAGAAGAGGAGAGUGGAAUUCCAUGUGUAGCGGUGAAAUGCGUAGAUAUAUGGAGGAACACCAGUGGCGAAGGCGACUCUCUGGUCUGUAACUGACGCUGAGGUUCGAAAGCGUGGGUAGCAAACAGG
rnacentral:rRNA from 1 species